UGGGAUCAAGGUUUCAAUAUGGACUGCUUGGGAAAUCUUCCUGUUUAACCUGUAACACCGUAGAAGGGUCAUUUUUCAAUGAAUCAUGGAACAAAGCAGAUAGUGGACAAACAAAACAGUGCUAUUCCGCAGUUCAUUCUCAGCCAAGUGAACUUGAAGGGUGGCGUGGACUUCUCUCCUAGCUCAACACUUCCCCAUCUCAUUUCUCUUUUCUCUUGACCUUGGGAAGAAUGGCAGCCGGCCCUGUUGCUUUCCUGCUUAUCACCUUUAUAUCAUGGCAGCCAAGGGACCGACAUCUUCCCUUUGGGCAGAGGGCUCUCACCAGCAGCUGAUUCUGUCUUGGUCUCCUCAGAAUUCCUGUCCUCAGAACUGUGCGGAAUUACUGUUGGUACUCGAGUCUCAAAUCCAGACCACAUGAAGCCAGAAGCACACAGAUAUGCAUACAUGUAGAGAUUUAAACAAACAAAUAAAUUAAUUACACUGCUAAAGUUGAUUCUACUCUACUAGUACAUGAAUUUUAUUAGAAUGAAAAUAUGUAAAAUACAUAAAAAGGAAAAAUGACUAUGGAAUACAUUUUAAUAGUUAACAUUAAAUUUAAUGUAUCUAAUAUGUAUACAUAAAAAUAUAUC
rnacentral:lncRNA from 1 species